rnacentral:rRNA from 1 species
UACGUAGGGUGCAAGCGUUAUCCGGAAUUAUUGGGCGUAAAGAGCUCGUAGGCGGUUUGUCGCGUCUGCUGUGAAAAACCCGAGGCUCAACCUCGGGCCUGCAGUGGGUACGGGCAGACUAGAGUGCGGUAGGGGAGAUUGGAAUUCCUGGUGUAGCGGUGGAAUGCGCAGAUAUCAGGAGGAACACCGAUGGCGAAGGCAGCUCGCUGGGACGGUACUGACGCUGAGGCGCGAAAAGCGUGGGGGAGCAAACAGG